rnacentral:rRNA from 1 species
CCUACGGGAGGCUGCAGUGAGGAAUAUUGGUCAAUGGGAGAGAUCCUGAACCAGCCAAGCCGCGUGAGGGAAGACGGCCCUGUGGGUUGUAAACCUCUUUUGUCGGAGAACAAAACCCGGGACGUGUCCCGGACUGCGUGUAUCCGAAGAAAAAGCAUCGGCUAACUCCGUGCCAGCAGCCGCGGUAAUACGGAGGAUGCGAGCGUUAUCCGGAUUUAUUGGGUUUAAAGGGUGCGCAGGCGGCGAGUUAAGUCAGCGGUAAAAUUUCGGGGCUCAACCCCGACAAGCCGUUGAAACUGGCGUGCUAGAGUGGGCGAGAAGUAUGCGGAAUGCGUGGUGUAGCGGUGAAAUGCAUAGAUAUCACGCAGAACUCCGAUUGCGAAGGCAGCAUACCGGCGCCCAACUGACGCUCAGGCACGAAAGCGUGGGUAUCGAACAGGAUUAGAUACCCCUGUAGUC